UUAAGAUAAAUCAAACUUUUUCUUUCAUUGAAGAUUCAAUUUUUUGUUAUUUAUCUAUGAUACAUAUAACUUUAAUUAGGUUAGAUUUGAUCUCAAAAAAAGUGUGAUAGAUAAGGUUUAAUGGAAGAGUUUAAUACUAGUCACAAUGCUAAAUUUGUUUCUAUAUUUUUUACAAAUAUUUAUUUUUUUACUUGUAUGUUUUUACAAUUACGUUUUUUCGGGUUCAAUUGUAUUCAUUUGUGAGUAAGGUUUGAAAUACUAAGAGCUUAUUAGAAUUGUUAAAAACAAAAAUACAAAACUAACCUGUACACUUUCUAAAGGUGGAUCUUCCUUCAACAUUAUUAGAAUUGUUUGUAUUAGAUUAUUACGUAUUUGAAAGUUUUAACAAAAUUCUCAUUUCUUUAUUAUCUAAAAAAAAACUAAUUUAAAAAAAUUGUGUACAGAUUGAGUGUAGUUUAUAGCAUUCUUAAAUGUUAAUGUAUAACUUUGGUCUUUUUUAAUUUUACUUUAACUGAGCAUUUACAUAUUUUAUUAUAUGAUUCACAGAUGUCAACGAUUUUAAGUUUGUUAGAAUAAUUCUGGUUUUUAACUCCAGGUUAUACCAUUGUAAUAAUAUUCUAUGAUUCACAGAUGUCAACCAUUUCAAUUUUGUUAGAAUAAUUCUGGUUUUUAACUCCAGGUUAUACCAUUGUAAUAAUAUUCUAUGAUUCACAAAGAUGUCAACCAUUUCAAUUUUGUUAGAAUAAUUCUGGUUUUUAACUCCAGGUUAUACCAUUGUAAUAAUAUUCUAUGAUUCACAGAUGUUAACCAUUUCAAUUUUGUUAGAAUAAUUCUGGUUUUUAACUCCAGGUUAUACCAUUGUAAUAAUAUUCUAUGAUUCACAGAUGUCAACCAUUUUAAGUUUGUUAGAAUAAUUCUGGUUUUUAACUCCAGGUUAUACCAUUGCGAUAAUAGCCUUUAAAUUCUGAUGUUUAUAUAUCUUGGGGGUUUGGUAUAACAUUCUGGGGUGAAAUGAAAGAACACUGUUUAGGUCUUGGUCAUUUAAACGUUUUCACUUAAACCAGAAUAAAAUAUUAGCCAAUCAGAAAUGAUAUUGAUAUUUAACCCAUUCUUUAAAUUUGACAGCCAUGUCAGAAACAUGUCGAAACAAACCAUCUAGCCAAGAAUGAGGAAAUAUAUUGGAAUGUCAUCCUCACAACAAAGAAAUAGACAAAAAAAAAGUCUACUUUUUAGACAAUGCCAAUACAAAUCUUGUUAAGUACUGCCACAUGGCUGUGUGAUAAAUCAGGCCAAAAUCAGUAAGAAAAUUAAUGUAAAAACUAAAUAAUUCCUAUUUUUCUGCUCAGAUUUUGAUUUUAUUUUAGGCUUGUAUUCCUAUUUUAUAUCAUAAUGGUCGGUAUCUGUGCUUUGGUUAAAAUUUAUUUCAAGACAGUAAAUCAAGAAAAUCCAUAAACUGUUGACCUUGCAUUAGAAAAUGAAAGAGGAAUAUUUGAGAAAUGAGAUUUUUAAAAAGCGUUUAACUUUAUAAAAUUACAGCACAGUUAGUCAUAAGUUGUGUAGGUUUAGAUACUUCAUUGUAAUCUUUAUCUUAAAGAUAUGAGUAUAAAAAGUUACAGAUGUGUUAUUAGGCUCUCUCUGUAAUGUAAAUGGUCUGUAGAGAUUCAUAUAAAUAUGUAUGAAUAUAUUUAUAUAUUAUACAUAUAUGAAUAAUUGUGAAUGUAACCUUUAUGUGAUAUACCAGUACUUCUUGACUGCAAUGUGAUGUAACUAACAUGUUAAAAUGUGUGAAUAUAAUAAAGUUAUACUAACACA
rnacentral:lncRNA from 1 species